rnacentral:lncRNA from 12 species
GGAGGGGUACGGUCCGGAGGAGAGAUGUUGGGUCCCAGCUCGGGACGUCCUGGACCGCUCGCUCAUCGACCAGUUUCACCAACGCGGCCCUUCUUCCUCAGGGGCGCCGGGAGGCGCUCCUGGGGGAGGGGGUACUGUCAGGACUCGGAGGAUUUCGGACUGCUCUUCUGGUUCUCGACCUGGACUGUUUUUGACCUUGUUGCUGCCCACCGUUCUCAGCCCUGUCUGCACCUCGCCUGACCUCCCUGUCUGCUGUACCACUCUCCUGCCUACAGUUUUGGAUUUGUUUGCCCCUCCUCUCCUGGCGCUCACAAAGGCUGAGCGCAUUACCUGCCCGCUGUGCAGUUGGAAGUUAAGACUGAGUUUUCUCCCCCGAGUUGGGGUUUUGUUUUUUGGACGUUAGGCCUUCGCCUUCUUCUGUUAAUAAACUUACCAUUUUCAGCCUCAUCCGCUCUUGGGUCCUUAUCUGUCCUGACAGUUAGAAGAACUCUAGUUAGCCUGCGUUGGACCAGGUUAGUUUCCCAGCAUAUGUUACCAGAAUUACUGAGCUUGAGCUUUGGUAAAUUUGCUUUAUGGAACCAAAUCAACUGACAAUAAUUUAGACUCAGUUAAAUAAGCCUUGCUCAGUUGGUAAACUUGUUUUAUGAAACAGCCCCCUGUUUACUCUGAUACUGAAGCCUGAUUUUUUCAUGUUUGUGUAACAGCAAAGGGGUGAAGCCGAUUGCUAUAUAAGUCAGCUCUGAGCGCCAUUUAUCUGAAUUUUCCCCUUCAGCAUGGAGAUCAUCUUUGCAAAGAGCUAAUUUCCUCUGCAUUGUUGCAAAUGCUGCACCACUUAUGUGGUUAGUGCAGGGCACCCCUGCAUGCUUCAGAUGGGCACACUGAGUGCACCACUUGCCUGGACCAUGCCCAUGCUGAAGGAUGCGCUAGGGCUGCAUGAUUAAUUGAAAUUAAAUCACAUUCACGAUUAGGCAAAAGCUGUAGUAAAUCUCCAUCCGAAGGCCAGAGGACACUCUUGCACUGAAAAUCCAAAUGUGCCCCACAGAAGAAAGGUAAUGCACGUCGUUCCAGGAAACAAAAGAUUGAACUGCUUUCACUGAUUCAUUGUGAGUAAUAAACACACAACUAUGACAAUAAAUGGUUUAACUGAGUUCUUAUUAUAAUUUUCGUUAUAAUUACGUGAGUUUGGAGUAAAAACAUGUUAUUGAAUAUCAAUAUCAAGCAUUGCGUUCAGUCAAGUCUGCAUCAGCUGAUAGUCAGCUGUUCCUGAUGUGUACUAAUCCAGUUUAACACUUAUCACAGCGGUCCGUUUAAUUCCAUUCUUUCAGCAUUUCUCCAAUCGCAUCGCUGCUUACAAAUCAAACUCCCUCAUAUAACCCCAACUCCACUUAGUCUCAUGAGGCAAGACCUUCAGACUAACAGCUGAAGGUCUGGAAUCCAUGGCAGCUGUCAUUGGCCAAGGCCCA